AGGACGAACGCUGGCGGCGUGCUUAACACAUGCAAGUCGAGCGGAAAGGCCCUUCGGGGUACUCGAGCGGCGAACGGGUGAGUAACACGUGAGCAAUCUGCCCUUAGCUUCGGGAUAGCCCCGGGAAACCGGGAUUAAUACCGAAUACGACCUCGGCCGACAUCGGCUUUGGUGGAAAGUUUUUCGGCUAGGGAUGAACUCGCGGCCUAUCAGCUUGUUGGUGGGGUAAUGGCCUACCAAGGCGACGACGGGUAGCCGGCCUGAGAGGGCGACCGGCCACACUGGGACUGAGACACGGCCCAGACUCCUACGGGAGGCAGCAGUGGGGAAUAUGCGCAAUGGGCGAAAGCCUGACGCAGCGACGCCGCGUGGGGGAUGAAGGCCUUCGGGUUGUAAACCCCGUUUCAGCAGGGACGAAGCGAGAGUGACGGUACCUGCAGAAGAAGCGCCGGCUACUACGUGCCAGCAGCCGC
rnacentral:rRNA from 1 species